CCAAAUUCAUUUCCUAAUUCCCACUACACUCUAGUGAUCCACUGCUCCGCCGUCGUUAUCGCCGCCAUAGGUUUCGUCUUGUAUAAUCGAAUCCUAAGAUGUCAAUUUCUUAUUCUCCUUGCUUUCAACCUCUUAAAGUGUUCCCUAGAAGUAAUCGUAUUCGUUCAAGCGGAGCUUUUACCUUGAAUCGACGUAAUGUAGUGGCAUGUAUGAAGAAAUCACAUGAAGAUACCUCUCUUGAAGCAAAGGUUGAUUUCUUACUAGAUCAUGUCAAAUGGGACGACAAAGGCCUUGCGGUUGCUAUAGCCCAAAAUGUUGAUACAGGAGCAGUCUUAAUGCAAAUGGUGUCCGGGCUAGCUUUUGGGCACCUCGACUAGUUCCACGUGAUACAUGUCAAUUAUGUUUAGCUUGUCUAGGAAUGAGUUUGUGGUUUAUUAAUACAUCAGAUAUAAUCAGGUGCAUUUUGUGUCAAUUAUGGUAUAUAUAUUGAUAACCGUGGUGUCCUGGCCAGCUUUCGCGCGCCUCGAGCCCUCAACUAGUUCCACGGAUACCUGACAAUUAUGUUUAGCUUGUUUGUGAAUGAAUUUGUAGUUUAUAAAUACAUCAGAUAUGUGUCCAUUAUGGUGGAUAUUUGUUUAAGGCUAGGGUAGUAAAAAUGAUAGUUGAGUUCCUUGUAUUUCAUUUUGAUCUCUCUUUAAGUCUUCAUAGAGGCCUAAUAAUUUGUUCAUUUUUGAGUUGCGUUUGGAUGCUAGUUGCCACAUCAUCACUAUCGGAUUACACAUUACCUAAGGAAUCUAAACCAAUAAUCAAAAUCAAAUUUUGACUUAUAUAUCUAGUCCAAUUGCUCAAUUUAGACUAUGAAAAUUCAAGAUUUCAUGGUUCAAGUUACUCCUAAUUUAUUUAUAAUAACGAGACGUGAUUUAGCUAGAACAUUAGACAGCACAUUCUUGUUUAGAGACUGUGACACGCUAUUAGAUAUCAACUAAGUUAGGUGUCUAUGAUGUGCACUGUGCCAGUAUUUUACACGUCUGGAAAAAAAAAGCUAGCGAAGUAGAAAAAGAUCGCAGGCUUUUCAUCUGUCAUUUUGAUCUCUCUUGAAGUGAGUUGUUUUUCUUUGUUGCACUUUGCAACUGAUGGUUUAUUGCUGCACUUCUGGGGACGUGCAGUGCCUUGCUCUUUGGACUUUACAACAACACCUUCCCUGCAAAGGCUAGUUGAAAUGUGUUCUAUUUACUGACCUGGAAGGAUGAACAUAUUGUAUCACCUUUCCUUUGUCUCUUGUUUUCUCUUUUCUGAUAACAGUACUUCAGGUUGAUUUCUUACUAGAUCAUGUCAAAUGGGACGACAAAGGCCUUGCGGUUGCUAUAGCCCAAAAUGUUGAUACAGGAGCAGUCUUAAUGCAAGGGUUUGCAAACAGAGAGGCUUUGUCAACAACAAUCUCAUCACGUAAAGCAACAUUUUAUAGCCGGUCACGGUCAUCUUUAUGGACAAAGGGAGAGACAUCCAAUAAUUUUAUCAAUGUUUUUGAUGUCUUUCUUGAUUGUGAUCGUGAUUCUAUAAUAUAUCUUGGGAAGCCUGAUGGUCCAACAUGCCACACGGGGUCAGAGACAUGUUAUUACACGCCAGUUGAUGAGCUUCUGAAAAAUCCUGAGCUCGGCUUUUCUUUUGGAAAAUGGUCUAUAUGAACCUGCCUAAGAUGUAGUAGCUGUGCUAGGUUGAGAAAAACGAGCUGGCUUUGACGACUUUAUACGCAUUAGAAUCUACAAUCAACCAAAGGAAGGCAGAAACAUCUAGCUCUUCAAAUGGAAAACCCUCGUGGACGAAGCGAUUGUUACUUGAUGACAAAUUGCUUUGCUCCAAAAUUCGAGAGGAGGCUGACGAGUUAUGCCGAACUCUGGAGCAAAACGAGGCUAAUGGUCGGACUGCCUCUGAGAUGGCAGAUGUCUUGUAUCAUGCCAUGGUUUUGCUUUCUCUUAGAGGAGUAAAACUGGAGGAAGUUAUGCAGGUCCUUAGACAAAGGUUUUCAAAGUCAGGCAUUGAAGAAAAGAAUAGUCGAAAAUCCUAGGACAUAUGGGUUUUACCGUUGAAGAAGGUCUCAUUACAGUCGACGAUUGUCAAGAGAGAGAGGGAGAGAGAGAGAGAGAGAGAGGCAUACUCCAGCUCUCUAAUGUUGUUGUUAAAAGUGGGGAGAUCUUUGAAGUCUCCUUUGUCAAUACAAACCUUAUUGAUGUACUUUUGCUAAACUAUGGGAACAUAUAUGAACAACAUUCUAGUUGUAGUACAGACAAGAAUUGAGGUCACGCAUUGUUAAAUUCUCUCUUUAGUGUGUGUUAAUCUCUCAUGAUGAUAAAAGAUUUGGAAUUUCCAAUUAUAAACAAGAUGUGUGGAUUAAAUCCUUUUAACAAAUAAAGUUUUUGAUC